rnacentral:rRNA from 1 species
AUGAACGCUGGCGGCGUGCCUAAUACAUGCAAGUCGAGCGAACAGACGAGGAGCUUGCUCCUCUGACGUUAGCGGCGGACGGGUGAGUAACACGUGGAUAACCUACCUAUAAGACUGGGAUAACUUCGGGAAACCGGAGCUAAUACCGGAUAAUAUAUUGAACCGCAUGGUUCAAUAGUGAAAGACGGUUUUGCUGUCACUUAUAGAUGGAUCCGCGCCGCAUUAGCUAGUUGGUAAGGUAACGGCUUACCAAGGCAACGAUGCGUAGCCGACCUGAGAGGGUGAUCGGCCACACUGGUACUGAGACACGGUCCAGACUCCUACGGGAGGCAGCAGUAGGGAAUCUUCCGCAAUGGGCGAAAGCUUGACGGAGCAACGCCGCGUGAGUGAUGAAGGUCUUCGGAUCGUAAAACUCUGUUAUUAGGGAAGAACAAAUGUGUAAGUAACUAUGCACGUCUUGACGGUACCUAAUCAGAAAGCCACGGCUAACUACGUG